rnacentral:rRNA from 1 species
CCUACGGGAGGCAGCAGUGAGGAAUAUUGGUCAAUGGACGAGAGUCUGAACCAGCCAAGUAGCGUGAAGGAUGACUGCCCUAUGGGUUGUAAACUUCUUUUAUAUGGGAAUAAAAUGCUCCACGUGUGGGACUUUGUAUGUACCUUAUGAAUAAGGAUCGGCUAACUCCGUGCCAGCAGCCGCGGUAAUACGGAGGAUCCGAGCGUUAUCCGGAUUUAUUGGGUUUAAAGGGAGCGUAGGUGGAUUGUUAAGUCAGUUGUGAAAGUUUGCGGCUCAACCGUAAAAUUGCAGUUGAUACUGGCAGUCUUGAGUACAGUAGAGGUAGGCGGAAUUCGUGGUGUAGCGGUGAAAUGCUUAGAUAUCACGAAGAACUCCGAUUGCGAAGGCAGCUCACUGGACUGCAACUGACGCUGAGGCUCGAAAGUGUGGGUAUCAAACAGGAUUAGAUACCCGAGUAGUC